GGUGGUACUGAUGUGGAUAAUGGAAACACCUGUUCCCAUUCCGAAUACAGUAGUUAAGCAUUAUCCAGUCGAUGAUACUGGUCGGCUUCCGGCUGGGAAAGUAGAUGAGUGCUACCA
rnacentral:rRNA from 1 species